rnacentral:tRNA from 1 species
AAAAUCCGUCGACUUUAGAAAUCGUAAGG